UGGUGGGUAGUUUGACUGGGGCGGUCUCCUCCUAAAGAGUAACGGAGGAGCACGAAGGUUGGCUAAUCCUGGUCGGACAUCAGGAGGUUAGUGCAAUGGCAUAAGCCAGCUUGACUGCGAGCGUGACGGCGCGAGCAGGUGCGAAAGCAGGUCAUAGUGAUCCGGUGGUUCUGAAUGGAAGGGCCAUCGCUCAACGGAUAAAAGGUACUCCGGGGAUAACAGGCUGAUACCGCCCAAGAGUUCAUAUCGACGGCGGUGUUUGGCACCUCGAUGUCGGCUCAUCACAUCCUGGGGCUGAAGUAGGUCCCAAGGGUAUGGCUGUUCGCCAUUUAAAGUGGUACGCGAGCUGGGUUUAGAACGUCGUGAGACAGUUCGGUCCCUAUCUGCCGUGGGCGCUGGAGAACUGAGGGGGGCUGCUCCUAGUACGAGAGGACCGGAGUGGACGCAUCACUGGUGUUCGGGUUGUCAUGCCAAUGGCACUGCCCGGUAGCUAAAUGCGGAAGAGAUAAGUGCUGAAAGCAUCUAAGCACGAAACUUGCCCCGAGAUGAGUUCUCCCUGAGACUUAGAGUCUCCUGAAGGAACGUUGAAGACGACGACGUUGAUAGGCCGGGUGUG
rnacentral:rRNA from 2 species